rnacentral:lncRNA from 1 species
AGGUGCCAGGCUGGGAGCCCUGUCAGGACCUGGAGUAUAAUGUCAUGACCUGCCAGGGUGAAGGGAGCCUGCAGAAUUUCUGUCUCCUAGCACUUCUACUCAACUUCCAUUGGCCAAAGCAAAUUAAAGAAACAUCAGCUUCAUGGGAAUGAGAAAAUACAAUCCCACCAUAUGACUGGGAUGAAGAGAGCUAGAUUUUCAUUGAACAGCCCUAAUGACUCCGAGAAAUGAAAACAUGUGAUAUUUCCACUGUAUUCCCGUUCUAUGUUGCUGAUAGAAAUAAGGAAGUUGGCCACUCCCCAUGGUGGCAGAAAGGAUGCCGCAGCAUCAGGUUUCACAUUCUUACACUGAAAGCUACUGAAACCAGAACAGAGAGACUUUCACGCAUCAAUUUUACCCAUUUCCCUGGAAGCUCCACAACAGAUCUCACGUUUUAUUUUCAGAACUUUAUCAUAUGCUCUUUUCUAAGGCAGUUCUUGCCAAGGGGAACAAAAUAUUACCAGGAUUGAUCCAGACUUGUCAAAAUUCACUCUCUGGGACUGGAGAGGGACCUAGCAUCUCAUGGAAUAUGUGGCCACUUGGGGUCUGAAUCAUGGUACAAUUCAAUUAGCAGAAGGAAGAAGGAAGGAGGAAGUAAUUCUUGAGUAGGAAUUCACCAGCUUCCAGAGAGGACAUGAUUCUAUUUUUCCUUAUCAUAAUGUAUUCUUCAGGAGGAUCUAGAGUUCCUCCGAGGAAAGAUGCAGCUGUUCAUUGAGAUACUCAUUAUAAUAUUUUUAAAGUACCAUUUUAUUUCUAGUAUACUGAGAAUUUUUAUUGGGAACUAAUGUCGUACUGCAUCAAAUGACUUGUUUUGUUUUUAUUUCUUUCAUUUUUUUCAGAAGGAGAAGUCUUUGCCAUUGAUCUAGAAGAUAUCUUUUAUCUUAUUUACAUGCUUUAUUCUAUUAACAAAGUUUAUAAUCUUAAAUCUUCCUUAUAUUCUCAGAAUAUGUCUUACUUGGGCAUAGGAGUACUUGUAUUUGACUUGAAAGUUUUUUCCCAAAUUUUUGAAAUAGACAUUUGCAAAACAGGUUUUUGUGUAAUGGUCAUGACAAU